UGACAGAAUGCAUCCCAUCGUUCUUCUCUUUGUCAUUUCUCUGCUUCACGCAUAUGAAGCCCGAGCGAAGAGACCGUUUCAAGUGCAACUGGUGAAUGGAAGCAACAGGUGUGAGGGCAGAGUGGAGGUGCUCUUCUCCGGCGUA